AGUUUGAUCCUGGCUCAGAUUGAACGCUGGCGGCAGGCCUAACACAUGCAAGUCGAGCGGAUGAAGGGAGCUUGCUCUCUGAUUCAGCGGCGGACGGGUGAUUAAUGCCUAAGAAUCUGCCUGGUAGUGGGGGACAACGUUUCAAAAGGAACGCUAAUACCGCAUACGUCCUACGGAAGAAAGCAGGGGACCUUCGGGCCUUGCGCUAUCAGAUGAGCCCAGGUCGGAUUAGCUAGUAGGUGAAGGUAAUGGCUUCACCUAGGCGACAAUCCCGUAAACUGGUCUGAGAGGAUGAUCAGUCACACUGGAACUGAGACACGGUCCAGACUCCUACGGGAGGCAGCAGUGGGGAAUAUUGGACAAUGGGCGAAAGCCUGAUCCAGCCAUGCCGCGUGUGUGAAGAAGGUCUUCGGAUUGUAAAGCACUUUAAGUUGGGAGGAAGGGCAGUAAGUUAAUACCUUGCUGUUUUGACGUUACCAACAGAAUAAGCACCGGCUAACUUCGUGCCAGCAGCCGCGGUAAUACGAAGGGUGCAAGCGUUAAUCGGAAUUACUGGGCGUAAAGCGCGCGUAGGUGGUUCAGCAAGUUGGAGGUGAAAUCCCCGGGCUCAACCUGGGAACUGCCUCCAAAACUACUGAGCUAGAGUACGGUAGAGGGUAGUGGAAUUUCCUGUGUAGCGGUGAAAUGCGUAGAUAUAGGAAGGAACACCAGUGGCGAAGGCGACUACCUGGACUGAUACUGACACUGAGGUGCGAAAGCGUGGGGA
rnacentral:rRNA from 1 species